rnacentral:lncRNA from 1 species
AGAGUGUUGAGAGGUGGGUGUUUAAGCUAAGGGAGAUGAAAAUCAUCCCAAAGUAGUGGAAGAUUUAUGCUUUUUCUUUGUUUCAAUAAGGGCGCAAAGAAGGGCAUGUCACAAUACAUGUGAAGCCUUGUAGAUUAAUGAAUUUAGAGAACAGUGUUGCAAGGUACUACAUGGUUCUCCUUUUUCGAGAAAUUAUUGAAUUGCACCUGGGAGAUAAACGAUUUUGAUUUAUUUUAAAAAGUCCCAUCAAAAUACCCAUUAUCAUGAUUGGGAAUGGUUGAAAAAGAAUAAAAUGGUAAAUAAUUGAUAAGUUAGGUAUAUUGCUAAAUUCCCUUCAUUUUAUCUUGGUACUGUUCUCCAGGACUAUUUCCCCCCUUUAUUACCAUAUAGGGUAUAUUUUUUGUGAAAAUUACGACAAGCAAACCCCCCCUCCCUCCAGCUGCGAGCUUUUUUGUUUUUUAUUAAAUUGCCCAUCUGUCUAGCAUUGAAAACACCAGAUUGGAGCAAAACCCUGUAAUAUGUUGUGCUUCCCCUCUGCCUGGUAUUUUACACACAAAAUAGCCCUAUCUUUCAUUGUAGCUUUG